ACGUUGGUAUUUGCCAUACUUACUCUUCUAGCCCCUCUCCUUUCAAGAAUAACUUUGCAAUCCGGGCAUUUAUAUAAGGACAUCAAUUCUACCAACAACACUGAACACUUUUAGUCUGCUUACACAUUUCAAUCGUCAACGUCGUGUGGGAUUACUGAAUUUUAUUGGUCAAAGCAAAUUAUAUAGGCAAUUUCGUCUAAAAAACUCUAAACUAUAAAUUUCUUUGGAAAUAAUUGGCCAUUAGCUGUUGGUUGAUUUUUUUUUUGGGUUCGUUUUGGAAGGCAAAAAUGGCUUCCGCUAAAGUAGCGUUACUUUUCAUGGCUCUAAUAGCUUCGUCGGUCGUACAAGCCGGGCCAUUAGGAGCUGGCGCUUGCAUGACUGGGUGUUCUGGACAUGUUGUAGCAUGUUUUUCAGCUGCCGGGUUUUCCUUAGCCAAAAUUUCCAGUACAUAUGAAAAUGGGCACUGUAAAUCACCCCGCAUUUAAGAUCAUUAUACUUCAAGUGCACUGUGCAAAUUGUGACUGCUGUAAGAAAUAGGUACGUAUGCUACGGCUGUUAAUGUGUUUAAUAUUUUACCAACACAAUGUGUCUGGUGGAAUUUCCGGUGCACAAUUAACUAUUUACCAUAUUUUUAAUUUUUAUGUUUUAAGAUAACACUGAAUUAAUAUUUAUUGUAUGCGACGCAUAUUAGACCUAUGUAACAUUACAUUAAAAUAUUAAAGUUAAAAAUCGGUUACCUACUACUUUUUUGGUUUAUCGAACUUAUGUCGACGUUUAGAUGCUAAAGAAAAACUGAGUAUUAUUUAAAUCGCUGAACCAAAUUAAAAAAUCUCACCCUUUCUUCUUCAAAAUCGAUAAAAACACUAAAAAAAUACAUAUUUUUCAACUUAAAAUUUCUGUGCUCUAGAACUUUUUUUUUUUAAACAGUCGAUUUAGUUCUGAAUUUGUAUGGAAUUUUCUUCAGACGUAGUACUAUUGAUAAACAUUGACAAACCAAAAAAAUAUCAUGAACCCUUCCACCCAGAAGUGCUCGAAACUUCGCCUUUAUUUAUCGUUUGUUAUUUAAAACAAUUUUCUCAAAAUUCUGUAGUAUUUUAUUAUUUCAUAGAAGUAUCUGUUACAGUGUACAUUGGAAAGAAAUAGGAUGUCGCCAAAAGUCUGAGUUUGUAGAGGAGAAAGAAAUAUUGUAUAUAGUACUAAAUACAGUAAUUUACUUUUUUAUUACUUUUUUAAUAGUCAAAUAGUCUUAAGAUGUAAUAAACCUAUUUUGUACCUAUAACAAAAUUUUUUCAGUGUUCAUCAAUAGUUGUAUAAACUUUAAUCCACAAAAAACCUUCAAACCUAAUUACAAUACUUUAGUCAUCAGACAAUAGCACUCAGUCAAUGUCUUCGCCAUUUCACUAUUUUGAUAAAAACACGAUAUUCUCAACAGCUCUUGACUUUCAAACGGUUUCAUAAAACAAAUAAAAGAUAAUUUUAACAUAGCUGUAGACAAUAUAAUCAAAUACAUUUUCAUUAAAAAUAACAAGUUACUUUAAACAGUCAAAUAAAAGUGUAUUCAAGGGGAUUUAUUUGGGGCGGUUUUUAAGGAGCUAUGUAUAGGCAAUUUACGAAAAAAAGUGUAUUUAAUAAAUUUCGACCAUGUCAAUUUAUAUUUAGGUUAAUUUGUACAAGCUUCUGGAUUUUAUUUUUAACGUAUACCUUGUUUUCUGAGUAAAAGCCAUAUUGAUGGUGAAAAAUACUAUGACAAAAUUGUGAGACUUCGUCUAGUCUAAUUUUGGUUUUGUAAAAAGACAGUAAUUUGUUUAGCUACUUUACAGGUUUAUGUUUAUAACCGAUUUUCAUUUAGAAAAUCAGUUUUUGUAAUUAAAUAAAUGAAAUAAGAAAAUUUGUCAUUAUCACUACAACCAACUAGCGAUAUAGGUACUUAGCUGUAUCUAUAGCGUGUAAAACGGUUGGUUUUUACCAUACCUACUCGUUAAGUCACUCCUUUCAAGAAUAAUUUUGCAAUCCGGGCAUUUAUAUAAGGACAUCAAUUCCACCAACAAAAC